UGUUAGACUGUGAUUUUACUGGCGCGAGACAGUGCCCUCACGACAAUAGUCGUGCGUUUCCAUUUCGCUGGGAGUAGAAGCCUCUGUAUUGUGUUCACGAACCUCUUUGUUCACGUAAACAAUAACAAACAGUGAGCUUGAGCUUCCUGGGUAGUGGGUGGCGGACGACGUAAACUGCGUUGAAUGUUUUGAGAUAUAGGAAAUAUGCGGCUAUGAAACUGAAGCGAGAAGAUGUGAUUUUCUGUUGGAAAAGACUGACAAUAGCAUGCCACGAAUAACUGUAAGGACGGAUUUGUUCACUAAGCAAAUAACAGGGUUGACCUCUCAGAUAAACAUGGAUGUUUCUAAGGAAACGGAACUGAGGCAUUUAAUUCGUAGGGAACAGCGUCGAAAUCGGAGGAGACGAAGGAGAAACGAAGUUGGUUCGUGUGUAAUUUGUCAAGAAAAUGUACUAAGGAGUGUUAGCAGUGUUUUAUCUUGUGGACACUACUUUCACACACACUGCAUUUUUGCCUGGAUUAAUGCUAAUACCUCUUGUCCAACAUGCAGAGCACCAGUUGAAUGUUACAAUAUAUGAACAGUGAUGUGGGCUUAAGAUACUGGAGAAGAAUAUUUAUUUCCUUGUUGUGUAUGUACCAGAGACAAAUGUUACCUAUUGUUAGU